ACGCACUAGUGUUAUACGAGCCCAGUCCAGUUAUUAGCAUUUGAAUGUUGCAAGCGUACACCGAAGAAGAAAGAUAGAAACCUGACGCCAAUCCGUCUAAUUUCGUCUAUCUAAUUUGAAAUUCGAGAAAGUGAUCGGGAGAUUGAAGAUCGUCUGCAAUAAUGGCACCCGCCCGUUUGAUUCUACUAAUUCUUGCGUCAAUAAUGUUAGUAUUUGCGUGCGAGGGACGGCCACUGACUUUCCCUGUAAGAAACCGGACACAGGUGAACUGUCCGGUGGGCUAUAGACCUGUUCGUAACGGAGGAUGCAGAAAGAUUUUAAUUACUUAAAAUACAACUUCCUCCUUUGCACAAGAAUAAUGCAAACAAUAUCGCAGGAUAUUCUUUCCCGGAGGUGUCAUAUUGGCAACGAAAAUAAUAAUACUUUUGUUUCUGGUAUCCAAUCUUUUGAUGUGACUUCAAACCAUUCAGUAAUAUGCAUUGCGCGUAGAAGAGAUCACUUUAAUAAAAUUUGGCAAUCAUCGCCCAUCAGAAAUGCAGUAUGCUUUUGUAACUAAUAUGCAUCACAUAAAUAUUCUAUGUAUACUAUCAUUUUAAUAGAUAAUAACGUCAGAAAAAAUAA